rnacentral:rRNA from 1 species
GAUGAACGCUGGCGGCGUGCUUAACACAUGCAAGUCGAACGAUGAAGCCCAGCUUGCUGGGUGGAUUAGUGGCGAACGGGUGAGUAACACGUGAGUAACCUGCCCUUGACUCUGGGAUAAGCCUGGGAAACUGGGUCUAAUACUGGAUAUGACUUCUCAUCGCAUGGUGGGGGGUGGAGAGAUUUAUUGGUCUUGGAUGGACUCGCGGCCUAUCAGCUUGUUGGUGAGGUAAUGGCUCACCAAGGCGACGACGGGUAGCCGGCCCGAGAGGGUGACCGGCCACACUGGGACUGAGACACGGCCCAGACUCCUACGGGAGGCAGCAGUGGGGAAUAUUGCACAAUGGGCGCAAGCCUGAUGCAGCGACGCCGCGUGAGGGAUGACGGCCUUCGGGUUGUAAACCUCUUUCAGUAGGGAAGAAGCGAGAGUGACGGUACCUGCAGAAGAAGCGCCGGCUAACUACGUG